GCUGCAGGGACGCGGGCGACGAGUGCGAGCGGACAUGCUGGGCACCCCCAGCCAGUCGAGGCCCCGGGUGGCCGCCCGACGAGUCGGUGCUGGACUGGCGCGAGUGCGAGCCCGAAUCAGGCUCCUUAAAGAAAGACUCCGGCAGGAUCUUCUUCCGCCACGAGCUAGGCUUCGGAUUCAUGACAGAGUUGAAGAGGGCUUCGAGGUCUGUGUCUAGGUCCUGCGUGACGUGGAUCACUUGCUGCCCAGGCGGCGGGAGCGGAGGGGGCGCCGAGGCCGGAUUCAUCUUCUGCAAAAAGAAGGAUGGCAAAGGAAAGGUCGCACGAUUCCAGGACAGGCAGCCCCCCGAAAGAAGUUCAGCCCGAGCCAACUCCACCACGUCUCGACUCCGGAAGCCCGAGGAGCCUGGAGCCCUGGAGUGGUGCCGGAUGAGCGCGCGAGCUCCAGCGGGCACUACCUGGGCGGGCAGCGAAGCUGAGCCUGAGCGCGCGGCGGCCGCCGUCCCGCCCGAACUUGCCGUCGGGCCUGGGUCGCUCGGGUGAGUCCCGAGAUUGCGGAGCUGGAGCCGAGGCUUGGCUGACAAAUCCCGACCCGACUCUGUGCCUGGCAGUCUAAGGGCUUCGGCUCUCACAUCCCCCGAGCUGGCCUAAGGCGCUAGUGCUGGGCGAAAAGGAGGCGCAGGAGAAGCAGACAGCGCGGCCGCAGCAGCUCCCGGACUGUCCCAUAAACAAAGUUUGGAGCAAACUCCCACCCCCAGGAAAGAGGCGGGCCCGAAAGUUGAGCUGUUGAAUUAUGUAUGACCUCCUAGUCCCUAGCCGGCCAGCCCCCGCUCGCCCCUCCUCUUCCUCCUCCUCCUCCUCCCACCUCGGCUCCAGAAAACCCUGGGCGUGAUGGGUACUUUACUGGGUAAGAGGAGACGGGUGCCCCCCACCCACUCCUCCCGGCCGCGCGGACCUCUCCCGCUCAGACCUGCAUCUGCAUUCCUUUGAGUUUACCACGGACUUGGGGCGGGAUCAAAGGGAAAGUGGCCUGAGCCUGUUUCAUCAAGGGGUUGUGGACCGAAACCAAGGCCGGGGGUGGCGGAGGGCACGCGGAUGAGGGGCUCAGGCCUAGGAAGGGCCGGUCCUGGACACCGCGCCCUCCCCUGCAGCCAGGCGCCGAGGCCUGCAGCACCCGGAGCGCCGCACUGACCCGCGAUUCUGCCCGAAGGCCGGCCCGGGUGCGCCCCGGCGCGGGGAGACACCAACAAGGCCAGCUUUUCCACGAGAGGCUGCUUAGCUCUUGUGACCAUAUUUGGUCUGGCGAGGAGGCAUCUUGGCUGCCUGGCUCUCAAUUGUCUGCUAGAGCACAGACGGUGCCCAGAAAGUGCCUCUGUCACUGGAGAUGCGGCUUCGCCAACGGGCUUGAGUGCAAUAGCUCCAUCUCAGCUCACUGCAACCUCCGCCUCCCGGGUUCAAACGAUUCUCCUGCCUCUGCCUCCCAAGUAGCUAGGAUUAAGACGCCUGCCACCACGCCCAGCUAAUUUUUGUAUUUUUUAAAAGCAAAAAUGGGGUUUCACCAUGUUGGCCAGGCUGGUCUCAAAUCCUGACUUCAGGUGAUCCGCCCGCCUCAGGCUCCCAAAGUGCUGGGAUUACAGGCAUGAGCCACCGCGCCCAGCCUGCCUUAAUAUUUUUACAGGGUAAAAUAAAGUCGAAGUUAAAAUCUGGAGCUGCCUUGGAGGAGAAAAGUUUAAGGAAAAGACAAGGCCACUCAUAGUUUUGCCUCGGAAAAGGUAGAAUUUUGGGGCCACUCCCUGAAUGGCUGCAUCCAUAUCCAAAACAGAACCACCAAAGUGAGCCACUUCCCCUGUUAUCUGUACUUGGAGGUGGCUCCAAUUCCAGACUCCUCAUAGACUGGAAGAAAUUAGGGCCAUCUUAGACUAAGGCAGGCAUACACGUAUCAUCCUUUUUUUUUUUUUUUUGAGAUGGAGUCUCACUCUAUUGCCCAGGAUGGAGUGCAGUGGCAUGAUCGCGGCUCACUGCAACCUCUGCCUCCCUGGUUCAAGCAAUUAUCCUGCCUCAGCCUCCCGAGUAGCUGGGAUUCUGUGCAGCAAGUCCUCUGCCCAUAGGACUGGCAAAAGGAAAGGGGAAACUAGCACAGGUCACUCCUUGGAAAGUAGAAUCUUUGCAAGCUACUCUCAGAAGCCAUCACAGUUGCAACAACAGGGGAAAUAAGCUAUCGAACAAGAGGAAGUGACUGGAACCUAAUGAUACUAAUUCAGAAGUCACAAGGCUGACUUGAUGAUUAAAAGAUGAAAACUUGAGGCCAGCCCUACUCUAGGAAAGUCCUCACUCCCGAAGAAAGGAGACCUGAGCCACUAAGUAAGAAGUCCAGUUACCCUGUUGGAUAAACCACAUGGAGAAGGAAAGGCCCUGAGAUACUUGGAGAGAGGGAAAAGUCCAGCUGCCCAGCACCUGAGCUGAGCCCAGCCUCAGCCAACCCCACCGGCUGACUGCAAACACAUCAGUGACCACCAGUAAGACCAGCAGAGCUGCACAGCCAAGCCCAGCCCAGAUUGCAGAAUUGUGAGCAAAUAAAAUGGAUAUUGCUUUAAGCCACAAAAU
rnacentral:lncRNA from 1 species